CUGAGAGCCACAAGCCUGUCCCACAUUUUCUCAGCAGAGACGAUGAGCUCGUUGAUAUGUGGAGGAUUUUUAAUGAGCAGUGACGCUGAGGACCAGAGAUGAGGUGCAGAGAUGUGCGGAGACUGGAGUUAUUGAGGUGCCAACCAGCAAACUCUGUGACUGAGCUGCCCGGAGGAAAGCAUCUAGCUUUUAUUUAAGCGGUCAUUUCACCCUUUGCCCAAACAGCCCUACGGGUUGAAUCAAUUUACAAGGGAGGCUGUGAAAAUCCCGGCUGUCCAACUGUCUAUUAGAGCAGAAGCCGCCAGCACAGGCCAAAUCAGACAGUUCAACACAGAGCCAAGGACUAACAGCCUUAUCUACAACCCAGCGAGAGAAACCACAAAACGCAUGAGAAGAAAUUGGUUAGGAUGUUUAGGAACAACCCAAGAACCACCAAGGAUCAAGCCUGCCAAAAACUGGAAACUGUUGGAACAGCAGUGUCACUGUCCACCCUUCCUUCAAGUGAGUUUUACACCACUAUGGUCUCAGACGUUGCUGACCAAGAAAUAAGCCCCUGCCCCAAAACUGAUACAUUCAAGCUCACCUGAAAUUCAUAGGUUCCCAAAUGGACAAGCAAAAUGCCUUCUGGAGAAAAUUUCUAUGGUCAGAUGAGACAAUGAUCAAUGAUCAAGUGGUAUGUUUGAAGGUAUAAAGGCGAGGCGUGCAAACCUAACAAAACUGUAACAACUCUCAUGCAUAGUGGUGGUAGUGGGGCUGUUUUGCUGCCAGUGCUACUGGUACAUUGCACAAAAUGGAUGGAGUAAUGAAGAACAAGGGUUACUGACAAAUUCUUCAACUUCACCUCAAACAGCUCAACAGCUGAAACUUGGACACAAGUGGAUAUUACAACGGGAGAAUGUUGGGAAAAAACACACAUCAAAACAGGAUUUGGAACAGAUAAAGCAGGCUAACAUUAAGCCUUUUCUUCACAAAAACUGAAACUUCAACCCACUAUGUUUAGAAGCUGUGCCGUGGCAAGAAACCAACCAAUUUACGUGACAUUUAACCAAAUAUUAGUGGGAGCAUAUGUCACGGUACUGGGCCUGUGACCCAGUGUUUUGGGUUUUUGGAUUAAGUUAUAUUCUUUGAUUUGUUGUUUUUCACAUUUUUGGUUCCCUUUGUUUUCUCCUUGUGCUAUAUUUUUAGUUUUCUGUCACUGUGCCUUCCAUAUUCCACGGUUAGUUACUCUUGUCUCUGCGUUUCUGGUUCCCUAGUUAGUCAUGCCUCCAUGUCACAGUGUCAAGUCAGUUUCUUUGUGUAGGUCUCUUGUUUCCUGUUUUACUUUGACAGUCUCAGUGUUUUCAGUUUUGCUUCCUCCCCGUCUCAUUUUGGCAGAUUAGUCCCAGCUGUGUUUCCCUCCUGUUUCCUUUGUUACACCCUUAUGUAUUUAAAUCCUGUGUUUUCCUCUCCCGGUUGUCGUGUCAUUUCCAUUUGCUGUGUAUGUUUCUCCGUGCUCAUCAUUUCCCUGGUUUCUUCAGAGUCUGUUCCUAGUUCCUUAGUUUUCUAGCUUUUCUGUUCUUGUUCCUAGUUUCCAGUUUUAGGUUUUGUUUCUUGUAUUCUGUAUGUUAGUUUUCUUCAGCACAAUAAAGCUGCCUCCCUUAAUUCAUCCCUUUGUGUUUUGCGGGUCCUGCGUUUGGGUCCAAUCCUGCCUGCCACACAGUGUGACAUGACAGUAUAAGUAUAUA